UCCCACCCCACCACCACCAACAGAGGGAGAGAGAAAAAAAAAAAAACUUGCACACUGUGAGAGCUCAACUGUGCCAUGCACUUUUUCUAUUUGGUGCUUGGGAAAGUUGUGUCCCUCCCUGCAUCUCUCUCCCUCUCGCCGUCCCUCCCCGUCCCUCUCCAUCCUCCCUCCGUCUAUCAUGUGCUCGGGAUGUGCUCGUGGCUCAGCACAGAGCAGCUGUGGAGCACGCCUGAUGAUGCAGGCUAUGUUCACACUGAGUGUUAGCGGCAAUUUUAAAGUGAUGCCCCCCCCACCAAAUGAACACGGCUGGGAUAUUUGAGGGGAACGUACAGGACCGCAGCCCGACAGACACGGACCCCACUCCACACCGCUGUCCUGCCUCUCCUGCUCGGGACCCUUUCUGAUCCAGUGCAGUGAUUUGACUCACCUUUGGGAAUGCUGCAGUGAUGGAGACAGGGAGCUGUGGAGAACUGCAGGCGGCAGCGAGAGGUAGAGGUCAACAUGGGAUCUCUGGGAUUUUGCUCUUCGCUGGGCCCACAUGAGGUUGCACGGAGACCUCGGAGAUUGUGACCCAGAAACAAAUGGCAUAAUGACUGGAGCCUCCAGGCUGAAGACGUCAAGGAUAUUCUGCUGAUAUCAGAGGUAAGCAUGUCCAACCUGAUCAACUAGAGAAGAAUCUGACUUGACUGACGUGUCUGACAAGCGCCAGGAGCUUCAUCAUAUUCUCUACAACUCUAAAAACUGCCAUCUGUAUUUCUCUCAACUGGUGAAAUACCCUUCACGAUGACCUAUAAUGAUGCAAUCACGGCGGCCUUGGACAAAUAUGCAUAUGUAUUAUAUUAAUAUACGCUGGAAAUAUUCUCCAAAUUGGAACUUGUUGUUUCAAUGUUUAUCUUUUUAAUAAACUUCCCAUUUAUUUCAUGUAAUUGAUUGAGUCUAACAAGUAUAUCUUUUGACAGCUAAAUAAAAGCUUUUUUCUUACUUUAA